rnacentral:pre_miRNA from 1 species
GGCGGGGGAGGGCCGGGCCCCUCAGCCCAGAUUGCGAGAGGGUGCAGGCCAGGCUGAGGGACCCCACUGGUGCAUG